GGACAGUAUGUUCUAGAAUGUAUGAAGAUGGUGAGCGACAAAGGAACCAUCAGUGUAGCAUUUGAAGCUGCAAAUCCGCAUGGAGAUUAUUUAUCCCAAGGUUGGUGAGCAUUCUGAAAACAUUCACAUAAUUUAUCUGUCACAUCCACACACGACAGUAUUUUAAGAGGCUGCAUUUUAUGUUGAUGCACUUAGACUUACUCGUUAAUUUUUCUUGCCCCCGAUGAUUUCUCCAACUCAAGGAAUUUAAGCACUUGUUAUUUAUUACCCGUUCUUUGGUUUUUAGCUAGGUGAAUAUUUAAAUCUGCCACAUUCAUUAUAGGUGGGCUGGAGUUCUACUUCAGAAAAGAUUUACUGUUGAAUCAGUGUUUUGAGACAAAAUCUACAAUGAAGAAGGCAGCUGCCAGAACAGAUAUUCAUCCAUUGCAGGUCCAACAAGCGCAAAUAUUUAACCAUAGCAACACAUUGUGUAAUGCACAGAUUCCAUCUUGUUUUUGUUUCAAAUGUAUAAAAUACCAGUCACCAUUCAUGUUCGUGCUGCUUCUCUCUGAAGAUGAAUGGAAGAGAUUCAUGGUAUGACAAAAAGGAUGUGAAAAUAUAUGGAGCAAUACAAAAUUUUCAUUUUCAUAUUGACUAUUUACAUUAUUGGGAGUUUCCAUGUCAGGCAUAUCCAACUCAAGUCUUCAUUUUAGAGAAGGGUGCUGGUUCACAUCAUGCUUUCCUAACCUGUUGUUUCAGGUUUAGCUGUAAUAUGGUUUAUGAUAAUUGAAUAAUACAAAUUACUGCAUUCUAUCAUUAUGGUUUUGACGUAGACAAGUAUUUCACUUGCAUAAAUUCCUUCCAUGUUCAUUCUGUAUCCUGUGUGUCAAUUAUUUCUUUACUCUCUUCAAUGCAUAGUAAAAUAAUUAAUUUGUUUGAUUAUCACUUUAUUAUUUGGAAUUUCUUGCUUAUAAAAGUAGUUAUAUCUUAUUCCAGUGCUGUAUAUGUGCCUAACAAGAAAAAUGAUGAAAGUGUAGAAGUCUUGGUUCAAUUCUUACCGUAUGCAAGUCCAUGGAUGAUAUGAACUGUUCAAACAAGAACUCCUGAACAACGAACGAGCAAUUCAAGGAUUGGAGUGAUAAUAAAACUGAAUCUUGGAACAGGAAGGGUCAACAUGAUUCUGAGUAGCAACAUGAGGUAUCUGCAAUUGAAGAAGUCAAGAAAAUUUUGAUCAUCUCGAUACAUGGAAACCUAUGCUGACAGCAGCUGGAGGAGGGGCUAGAGAUAAUAAGAAACAGGUGGAUCCAAAAUGUAGUAGAAAAGGAAAAAACGCUUCAUUGUCUUGUCAAAAUAAAGGGAAUAGAAGAAGAAGAGAGGAGGUUCAAAAAUGCUAAAAAGAAUGUUCUAACAACAUAACCAUGGGUGGCAUAUUGGGUAAGUAGUUGAUCGACUAAAUUUUAGCUUCUUUUUUAUAAAAUUCUUCCAGGAAAUUCUGAUGUGGAGGAUUCAACAGAUGAGGCUACAAAUAUUCUAUUGAGAUGGGUUACAGGUAAAACCUAAGCUCACUUCUAUGCAUAAUAAUUAUUACUUGC
rnacentral:lncRNA from 1 species